ACAAAAACCUCAGAAUAGAAACCUGAGAAAAUAAUCCUUCAGUAUGCAGAGAAAAACUGAUAGAAAACCAUGUUUAUUUGAAGAACAUCAGGUUUUUGUUAAUGAAGUCAUUAGAGAUGUAACACUGUGAUGGUGCUUUUGACUACUGGGGAGAUGGAACUAAGGUUACUGUUGUUCCAGGCGGCCCUAAUGUCCCUCCGAUUUUGUCUAUUUUGAGUCCCCUGAAGGAUUCUCGCUACCCCCCGAAGACAGCAGAUGAACUUGGUCCAGAUGUCUGUCUGGUCACAGAUUUCCGUCCGAAGGGGGACGACGUAAAUCUGAAUGUGAAAGGUGGUCAGGUCAACGUCAGCACAGAUAAAGCUGUUCUGUCAAACAACACCUACGUGUUUGUUGCCUACAGCAAUGAAACCAUCCACUCCUGUGACAUGAACGGAAAGUUCAGCAACAACG